AGGUGGAGUAGUAACACUAGCUAACUGCUUGAUUAUUGAAAACAGUUAGUUAUACUUUAUCCAUUCCUGUUAUUCGUUUAACCUGUCUCUCUCUUCAAGCCACACUCUGAUCCAAGGAUCAAGUUUCCGGAGUCCUUCUACAAUCCUAUACCUGAAUAACAACACUGUAGCAAAAACUGUUUUUUACGAUCGGCUAACCGUACUUCUGACGUCAUCUGCAGCCGACAAGGGAUCUUUGCAGCUCCUCACUCAGAAACGUUCACAGCGUGCAGCGUCUGUGAACGCUGAAUCCGCUUCUGCUCCACUUCCAGUCAGGAAACCCUCUCGUCAGGUGGAUAUAAGACCCGGAGCAAACGUUAUCCGCAAAGUGACUACCCCCUGUCUGCUUGUUUGACUGCUGUGUCCGGGUGACAACGCACUAUUCUGUCUCAGACCGCCGUAAUCUUGAUCGGGUGCCCCUGUUUUUUGGAUCUCCAGGUGAGGAAUAUCUUAGGGAACUCCUUUACACUAACUUGGACAACCGCAUUACCUAACUAUAAACCUGGAAAAGUCUGCAAGGUCUGAUGGAGCCUAUUACAAAUUGGCCUAAAUAGUGCCCGUUCGCGGACUGCAUGUAAAUGGAAAUCCCCACAGAUCCCUACACUUCCAGAAUGGCUCCAAAACACUACUGAUCUACUCUCCAUGGAGGAAUAUUCAAAUUAUAGAAGAGGGAAAUUAUCUACUUUCCAGGACAUAACAUUUUAUUGGGAUACCCUUGUGCGCUCCCCUCAAAAUAGCUGACCUGAUUAACCCCUUCUUUCCACCCAGCCUCUCUUUUUCCACUUAUCUUUCUAUAUCAUUUUUUUCUUUCUUUCAGGUCUCUAUUGUCUCAGAGAGAGUUGUCUGCACGAUGAUGCACAUAUGCAAUAUUGUUUUUAUAGUUUCAUUAUAUCCUAAAUUGAUACUUAUGGACUAAUCUCUUUUCUACAAAAGCAAUGGUUCUCCACAGCUGCAUCCUAACAAUGUUUUGCUCCAGAAUCGACAAUGUACUGUAUGGCUGUUUAUAUCUGGGACUCAAGGUGUGGAUUAUACUUGAUGUUGUUUUUCAGUACUUGAUUUUUUUAGAUACACUAAAAAACAACAGACUUGUUAUUAAUACAAUGUCUUCCAGUUCAGAGUUCCAAUAUAUCAAUGUAUCAAAGGGUCUUAUAUUGAAACGUAAUAGCAUGUACUGUAAACACAAUCUUAAAGUUAUACCACCUUAGAAUCAGUUGAAAUAAGUUUUAAAGUCUAACACAGUUCCGAUAAGGGAAAGGAUAAAGGUUACCUCCAAAUCACUUGAUCCUCUUAUAUGCAGUCUCUGCACGUUCGUUCAUACCUGGGCUCCUGUGCCACUUAUAGAUUACAAAUGUAAGUUUGUCAGCAUGGAUUUUUCACAACCACGAAGUUCACCCCCACGCGACCGAUGGCGUCUGACGUCACGGGUGACACUUGCAAAUUUUUAUCCCUUCUGAAUUCGGUAGCCUUAUUGGAUUGUUAAGUUUAAGUAGAAAGUGCUGGUAAAACACCUUAUUUAUGGUAAUUAUAGAAGCUUCUCCUGCACUUAGUGCUCCGCACGCAGGAGGUAUAAGUAAAAAUUGCUGUUUUGAUGUUAAAAAGUCAAUUAACCCGGGUUAAAAAGUUCAUCAAAGGAAUAAAAACAAUAUUGUUGUGACACACAAUAAGAUUAGCCACUGCUUUCGAUGCGUUUCGCCCUUUCCAGGGCUUUAUCAAGAUGUAAUUAACCAGAUAGAUGAAUAAAUGUUUUUAACAUAUUUUGAUUAAAUGGAUGCGUUAUUGAUAUCAUUAGCUGUUUAGCGCCCUUAUUAACUUUAAAUCAUCUUAAGUAUUCAAUUAAAGAUAUUUUUUUUUAAAUUAAAGAGAUAUGAAACCAAUAAAAUUAUUUCAUGAUUCAGAUAGAGCAUGCAAUUUUAAACAAUUUUCUACUUUACUUUUAUUAUUCAUUUUGCUUUGUUCUUUUGGUAUCUUUUGUUGAAAAGCAGGGACGUAUUCUUAGGAGCCAGCCCAUUUCUGGAGCACUAUAUAGGACCAGUUUUACAAGAAUGUUAUCCAUUUGCAAGAGCGCUAGAUGGUAGCACUAGUGACUACCUAGGUAUCCCUUCAAAACAGAAUAUUAUGGGCAAAUUUGAUAAUAGAAGUAAAUUGGAAACAUUUUUAAAAUGGUAUGCUGUGUCUGAAUCACAAAAUAAAAUGUUUUUCGUUUCAUAUCCCUUUAAAUCUUGCUAAUAUAAUUCACAUUAUGCUGAUUCCUGCGUGUAGCAUCUUACAAUCACCUAUAUUUUUGUUAGGGUUAUAAGUAUUUUGAGUGUUUUGAGAAAAAGCUUGCCACCUUUUAGUUUGUGAGAAAAAAACUAUGAGAUAUGUAUUGCUAAAAUCUUUACAGAAUUACAUUGGGAUUAGAGAGAUAAUUUCAUAAACGCCCCAUGGAACGCCCAUGUUUAGUCCAAUUUACGAAAAAAGUAUAUAUAACCAUGUUGGUUAUGCAAAACUGGGGAAUGGGUAAUAAAGGUAUUAUCUAUGUUUUUAAACAAUAACAAUUCUGGAGUAGACUGUCCCUUUAACAAUACAAUUUUUCCGCUUAUUUUUUUGAGAAUGGUUCAGUUAUUCAUUUUGUAAGGUGUUUAAAAUAUGAAUUUUAAUUGUGUACUUUUCAUACAAAAAUGCAGUAUAAGCCCCUUAGCAAGAUACCCUGUUUUGGCAUUAGCUCAUUCCACCAGGGAAAUAGAAGUACUUGCAAGCAUUCUUUAAAGGGACAGUGAAGUCCAAAAAAUACUUUCAUGAUUUAAAUAGGGCAUGCAAUUUUAAACAACUUCCCAAUUUACUUUUAUCACCAAUUUUGCUUUGUUCCCUUGGUAUUCUUAGUUGAAAGCUAAACCUAUUAGGUUCAUAUGCUAAUUUCUUAGACCUUGAAGACUGCCUCUAAUCUGAAUACAUUUUGACCACUAGAGGGCAUUAGUUCAGUUCACAUGUUUCAUAUAGAUAACAUUGAGCUCAUGCACGCAAAGUGACCUAGGAGUGAGCACUGAUUGGCUAAACUGCAUGUCUGUCAAAAGAACUGAAAUAAGGGGGCAGUCAGCAGAGGCUUAGAUACAAGAUAAUUACCGAGGAAAAACAUGUAUUAUUAUAACUGUGUUGGAUAUGCAAAACUGGGGAAUGGGUAAUAAAGGGAUUAUCUUUCUUUUAAAACAACAAAAAUUCUGGUGUUGACUGUCCCUUUAAUAAUCUCCCCAGCCCAGAGAGAUUUUGAUAAUCAGACCCCAAAUGUUUAGAGAAAAGAUAAAAUAACAAUGUAUAUAUUCACAGUAUUUUCAUUUUUAUCUAAUUUUAUUAAAGUAACGUUUAUGGAGACAUAUAAAAAAAUGAUGCAUUUGACACAAAUUUUGAAGGUACAGAAAUUGUGUCAUAGCACUAAAAAUGCUGAUAAACCCUGCUCUAAGGUCAAUGGAGGCAACAAGUCUCACAUUCUUUCACUUACCGACAUGUUUAAUGCAUUAAUUAAUGUCUUAUUUAAUGUCUUGUUAGCUCCCAACAACCAGCAUGUAUUUGCUUGUCCCAAAUUAACAGAUGUUCCUAAUGUUACAUUCCACAAGCAUUUAGUUUAUUUUUUUCUGCAGAAUCUGAUGUUAUUUCAUUUUUUUUUCUUCAAUUUCAUAGUUCAAUGUUUAUUUACUGCAAUGUAAAAAAUGUAUUCUAAGGGGUUGUAUUGAAGUGGUAUAAUCAUGUAUAUCUGAGCAAACAAAUCAACCAACCAUAUGUUUAAAAACUCUAAAUGUGAAAGUUUACCGAGCACUUAAACGCUCAGCUGUCAGAGCGGGCUGCAAAACACUUCAGCUUUGUAAUCUACUUCCCCAUUGUCAUACAUUUUGAAUGCAAUAAAUCUGGCAAAAAAAACUCCAGAGCAGGCAAAA